rnacentral:lncRNA from 1 species
AUUAAUUUGAGUCUGACUUUAGAGCUGCUAUUUAUUUUCUUCAUGCUCUUAUAUAUUUUUGUUGUUUUGAAUUUGUUUGAAUAGGGCCCAUCAUAUAAGAAGAGAAAUCAUAAGCAGCUAGCUGAACCCCUUAAAUUCGUAGUUGUUCAAGUGAUUCCAGCACCAAGUAGCGAUUAGUGCCGUAUGAGGUGGUAAGUAGCCUAGCUGACCGGUUCAUGCAGAUGAAUCAAGCAACUUGAAUCACGUCCUUCUAGCUCUCAAGGUUGUUGACAAGCUAAAUCUUUGGUAUGUUCCCAAGACUGCUUGGCAGCGAAUAACCAACUACAAA